AUUGAACGCUGGCGGCAGGCCUAACACAUGCAAGUCGAGCGGAUGAAGGGAGCUUGCUCCUGGAUUCAGCGGCGGACGGGUGAGUAAUGCCUAGGAAUCUGCCUGGUAGUGGGGGAUAACGUCCGGAAACGGGCGCUAAUACCGCAUACGUCCUGAGGGAGAAAGUGGGGGAUCUUCGGACCUCACGCUAUCAGAUGAGCCUAGGUCGGAUUAGCUAGUUGGUGGGGUAAAGGCCUACCAAGGCGACGAUCCGUAACUGGUCUGAGAGGAUGAUCAGUCACACUGGAACUGAGACACGGUCCAGACUCCUACGGGAGGCAGCAGUGGGGAAUAUUCGGCAAUGGGCGAAAGCCUGAUCCAGCCAUGCCGCGUGUGUGAAGAAGGUCUUCGGAUUGUAAAGCUCUUUAAGUUGGGAGGAAGGGCAGUAAGUUAAUACCUUGCUGUUUUGACGGUACCAACAGAAUAAGCACCGGCUAACUUCGUG
rnacentral:rRNA from 1 species